rnacentral:rRNA from 1 species
AAAAACAUGGCUUUUUGAUUUUUAUUUAAAGUCUAACCUGCUCAAUGAAUUUUAAAUAGCCGCAGUAUCCUAACUGUGCAAAGGUAGCAUAAUCAAUAGUUUCUUAAUUAGAAGCUGGAAUGAAGGGUUGAAUGAGAAAAUAUCUGUCUCUAUAAAAAUUUAAUAGAAUUUUAUUUUUAAGUAAAAAAGCUUAAAUUUAAGUAAAAGACGAGAAGACCCUAUAGAGUUUUAUAUUUAUAUAAAAUAGUUUUUUUAGUAUUUUAAAAUUUAUUUUUUUUAAGUAUUUGGUUGGGGUGAUUAGAAAAUUUAAUAAACUUAUCUUUUAAAUUAUACAUUUAUUUAUGGGUAUAUGAUCCUUAGUUUAGAUUACAAGAUAAAAUUACCUUAGGGAUAACAGCGUAAUUUUUUUUGAGAGUUCUUAUCGAAAAAAGGGAUUGCGACCUCGAUGUUGGAUUAAAAUAAAUUUUUGGUGUAGAAGCUAAAAUAAUUAGGUCUGUUCGACCUUUAAAAUUUUACUUGAUCUGAGUU